rnacentral:rRNA from 1 species
UACGUAGGGUCCGAGCGUUGUCCGGAAUUAUUGGGCGUAAAGGGCUCGUAGGCGGUUUGUCGCGUCGGGAGUGAAAACUCAGGGCUCAACCCUGAGCGUGCUUCUGAUACGGGCAGACUAGAGGUAUGCAGGGGAGAACGGAAUUCCUGGUGUAGCGGUGAAAUGCGCAGAUAUCAGGAGGAACACCGGUGGCGAAGGCGGUUCUCUGGGCAUUACCUGACGCUGAGGAGCGAAAGUGUGGGGAGCGAACAGG